rnacentral:lncRNA from 1 species
AAGGUGAUUGGCGGCACCAAAGGUGCCAAAGCCAUUGGCGGCACCAAGCUUAUAAUAGGGCCGGUCGGUGGUUGGGGGGGGAGAAGGAGAGGGAAAGAAAGAAAAAAAGAAAGGAAGGAAGAAAGGAAGGAAGGACGGAGAGGAAAGAAGAAAAAGAAGGAAAGAAAAGGAAAGGAGAAGAGAAAAAAAAAAGAAAGAAGAAGAAGAGGAAAGGAGAGGAAAAAAGAAAGAAAAGGAAAUGAGAAGAGAAAAAAAAAGAAGAAGAGGGAAGGAAGGAAGGAAGGAAAAAAAAGAAAAAAAAGGUAAUUUUUAUUAUAAAUUUAAUUUUUUUUGUAAUAUUUGUGUGUUAAAAAUUUAUGUUAUGUAAUGUACAUUAUACGUAUUUUAUUAUUUUAUUUAGCAUAUAUAUUUUAUGAAAUAUAUUUAGAAUGAAAAAUUCAUGGUAUGCACAUUGUAUGUUGAUU